GGUUAAAAUAUAGUGCAAUCUAGAAGCCUUGCAUUUCCAUUGAGAAGAGAAGUUUAAGUUGAACUUUAAUAUGCGAAGUUGUUAUCAAAGUCGAAUGAACAGAAAUUCAACUCGAAAUUUAAGUUGCUAGCUAUCAUCUUUGAGGGAGGAAGACAAAUCCAAAUUGGACUAGCCUGUGAAUCCCAGGAUUUUCGACACACAUAUAUACAGUCAUAUAUGGUUAUAUUAUAUUUACAUAUUUAUAUGUAUAGAGCAGCUAGGUUAAAAAAAAAAAGGUUUAUCGAUUGGGUUUGGGCUAAGCGCACCCAUUUUUCUUUUCCUGAUCCUUCUCCACCGCCCUCUUCAUUUCUUUCAGGUUUUAUUUAAUUGAUUUUUGCAGCAUUUUGGGGAUUUUGUGCCUUUGACCAGAAACAAAAGCAGAGAGAGAAAGAGAGCUCUGCCUAGGAGGAAACAGAGUAGAGAGGGAGAACGUCAGCUCGAUUGAGAGCUCGGGCUGGGGUUUAUGGAAGAGGGGGAAGAAUCGAAGAAUCGAGAGGAUAAUUGGGGCAUGGCAACUGAGAGUGUAGUAAGAGAGGGAGAGAGUGAGCGAGCCGCAAGAGAGAGCGAAAGGGAGCGAAGAACAGAGAGUCCGGAAUAGAGCUCACUCAAGGAGGAACGGGACUCCGAGGGGAACGAGACUGUGAAGGUUGAGAGUAUAUGGAGAGUAAGCGCUGGAGCUGAGAGUAAGAAAUGAUUUCAAAGGGGAAGAGCUCAGCUGGUACCAAAUUAGAUUAUGGGUAUGCUUUGGAAUUGAGGAGGCUGAGCGGCAUUGCAUCUUGAAGACUCAAGUGGGUGAAUUAUAUUUUUGGGAACUAUCUUCAUGGGACCACUGGACUUGGCGAAUUACAAAAAUGGGCGUGAUCGGCUGCUGGACCCAACAGAAUACAAAUGGGGACCUAAUCAGCCGCUAAUCAGGAGGAAUACAAAUAGGGCUUUGAUCAGCCGCUGGAUUCGGCGGAAUAUAAAUGGGGGUCAGAUCGACUUCUGGAUUCGGCGGAAUAGAAAUAGGGAUCAGAUCGGCCGCUCGGCCCGAUGGAAUAUAAAUAGUGGUUAACUCUUACCACUAGAGGUUAGCAAGGGAUUCUUCCUUCAGCAUGAAAUUCACGGACAAAACCAAAGUUAUUAGAUGGAUCAAGUCCGCAAGGUUCUGGAAAGUCACCAUUGGUGAGCAAUUGUCAUAUCAAUUGAGCUUGACGGAAGCUCAAGGAAGGUCUGAAGAGCCUUGAGCUCUCUCAAAUGAGUGGUUUGGGGACUUCGUCCAUUCCUCCCAGCUAGAGGCUUUCCAGAUGAAAAAGGCUUUCGAUACCCGCUCAAGGCUCUUAAUUAAGCCUGUCUAGUUUCAGGACCUUUAAGAAGGAUAAAGUUCCCAACUUCAUUAGGAACUCCUCCCUCUAAUGGACAUAUCCAGGAGAGGAGAUCGAUAGAAGCAUGUACGCUUGCCCGGCGGAGGGAGCAUUUCAAGCUUAUUGAAUUCCCAAGAUUACUUGUUAAAGAAGUUAUUUUAGUUGCAUUGAUCUUGGGCACUUCCAAAUUAAUUAGACCUCCAAUAAAAUGAGGCAGUUUCUUGA